rnacentral:tRNA from 1 species
CCUGUAGCUCAGUUGGAUCAGAGCAUCUGACUUCGAAUCAGAGGGUCAAGAGUUCAAGUCUCUUCA